GGGCCCGCACAAGCGGUGGAGCAUGUGGUUUAAUUCGAAGAUACGCGCAGAACCUUACCAACACUUGACAUGUUCGUCGCGACUUUAAGAGAUUAAAGUUUUCGGUUCGGCCGGACGAAACACAGGUGCUGCAUGGCUGUCGUCAGCUCGUGUCGUGAGAUGUUGGGUUAAGUCCCGCAACGAGCGCAACCCUCACUUUUAGUUGCCAUCAUUUAGUUGGGCACUCUGAAAGAACUGCCAGUGAUAAGCUGGAGGAAGGUGGGGAUGACGUCAAGUCCUCAUGGCCCUUACGUGUUGGGCUACACACGUGCUACAAUGGUAUUUACAACAGGAAGCAAGACGGCGACGUUAAGCAAAUCCUUAAAAGAUACCUCAGUUCGGAUUGCACUCUGCAACUCGAGUGCAUGAAGCUGGAAUUACUAGUAAUCG
rnacentral:rRNA from 1 species